rnacentral:rRNA from 1 species
UACGUAGGGGGCAAGCGUUGUCCGGAAUCAUUGGGCGUAAAGCGCGUGUAGGCGGCCCGGUAAGUCCGCUGUGAAAGUCGGGGGCUCAACCCUCGAAUGCCGGUGGAUACUGUCGGGCUCGAGUCCGGAAGAGGAGUGUGGAAUUCCUGGUGUAGCGGUGAAAUGCGCAGAGAUCGUAAGGAAGACCAGUGGCGAAGGCGGGUCUCUGGACAGUUCCUGACACUGAGGCACGAAGGCCAGGGGAGCAAACGGG